GGGGCUAUAGCUCAGUAGUAGGGCACUUGCCUAUCAAGCAAAAGGCCCAGGGUUUGAUCCCUACCACUG
rnacentral:tRNA from 1 species